AACCGAGAACUCCUACGGGAGGCAGCAGUGGGGAAUUUUGGACAAUGGGCGCAAGCCUGAUCCAGCAAUGCCGCGUGAGUGAAGAAGGCCUUCGGGUUGUAAAGCUCUUUUGUCAGGGAAGAAACGGCUGCGGCUAAUAUCCGCGGCUAAUGACGGUACCUGAAGAAUAAGCACCGGCUAACUACGUGCCAGCAGCCGCGGUAAUACGUAGGGUGCAAGCGUUAAUCGGAAUUACUGGGCGUAAAGCGUGCGCAGGCGGUUUUGUAAGUCUGAUGUGAAAGCCCCGGGCUCAACCUGGGAAUUGCAUUGGAGACUGCACGGCUAAAGUGUGUCAGAGGGGGGUAGAAUUCCACGUGUAGCAGUGAAAUGCGUAGAUAUGUGGAGGAAUACCGAUGGCGAAGGCAGCCCCCUGGGAUAACACUGACGCUCAUGCACGAAAGCGUGGGGAGCAAACAGGAUUAGAUACCCCAGUAGUCCGACUGAGA
rnacentral:rRNA from 1 species